UGGGUUGUGACUCAGUGGUAGAGUUCCUGCCUGGCAUGUGUGAGGCCCUGGGUUCGAUCCUUAGCAUCACAU
rnacentral:tRNA from 1 species